UACGUAGGCAGCGAGCGUUGUUCGGAGUUACUGGGCGUAAAGGGUGUGUAGGCGGUUGUUUAAGUUUGGUGUGAAAUCUCCCGGCUCAACUGGGAGGGUGCGCCGAAUACUGAAUGACUUGGAGUGCGGGAGAGGAGAGUGGAAUUCCUGGUGUAGCGGUGAAAUGCGCAGAUAUCAGGAGGAACACCAACGGCGAAGGCGGCAUCCUGGACUGGUACUGACGCUCAGGAGCGAAAGCGUGGGGAGCGAUCCGG
rnacentral:rRNA from 1 species